rnacentral:rRNA from 1 species
AGUGAACGCUGGCGGUAGGCCUAACACAUACAAGUCGAACGGCAGCACAGUAAGAGCUUGCUCUUACGGGUGGCGAGUGGCGGACGAGUGAGGAAUACAUCGGAAUCUACUUUUUCGUGGGGGAUAACGUAGGGAAACUUACGCUAGUACCGCAUACGACCUACGGGUGAAAGCAGGGGAUCUUCGGACCUUGCGCGAUUGAAUGAGCCGAUGUCGGAUUAGCUAGUUGGCGGGGUAAAGGCCCACCAAGGCGACGAUCCGUAGCUGGUCUGAGAGGAUGAUCAGCCACACUGGAACUGAGACACGGUCCAGACUCCUACGGGAGGCAGCAGUGGGGAAUAUUGGACAAUGGGCGCAAGCCUGAUCCAGCCAUACCGCGUGGGUGAAGAAGGCCUUCGGGUUGUAAAGCCCUUUUGUUGGGAAAGAAAAGCAGCAGGUUAAUACCCCGCUGUUCUGACGGUACCCAAAGAAUAAGCACCGGCUAACUUCGUG